UUGUUGGUGAGGUAAAGGCUUACCAAGGCUUCGAUCAGUAGCUGGUCUGAGAGGACGGCCAGCCACACUGGGACUGAGACACGGCCCAGACUCCUACGGGAGGCAGCAGUGGGGAAUUUUGGACAAUGGGGGCAACCCUGAUCCAGCCAUGCCGCGUGAGUGAAGAAGGCCUUCGGGUUGUAAAGCUCUUUCAGCCGGAACGAAACGGUUACGGUUAAUACCCGUGACUACUGACGGUACCGGAAGAAGAAGCACCGGCUAACUACGUGCCAGCAGCCGCGGUAAUACGUAGGGUGCAAGCGUUAAUCGGAAUUACUGGGCGUAAAGCGUGCGCAGGUGGUUUUGUAAGUCAGAUGUGAAAUCCCCGGGCUUAACCUGGGAACUGCGUUUGAAACUACAAGGCUAGAGUGUGGCAGAGGGGGGUGGAAUUCCGCGUGUAGCAGUGAAAUGCGUAGAUAUGUGGAGGAACACCGAUGGCGAAGGCAGCCCCCUGGGUCAACACUGACGCUCAGGCACGAAAGCAUGGGGAGCAAACAGGAUUAGAUACCCUGGUAGUCCAUGCCCUAAACGAUGUCAACUAGUUGUCGGGCCUUAACGGGCUUGGUAACGUAGCUAACGCGUGAAGUUGACCGCCUGGGGAGUACGAUCGCAAGAUUAAAACUCAAAGGAAUUGACGGGGACCCGCACAAGCGGUGGAUUAUGUGGAUUAAUUCGAUGCAACGCGAAAAACCUUACCUACCCUUGACAUGUAUCGAAGCCCGCAGAGAAGCGGGUGUGCCCGAAAGGGAACGAUAACACAGGUGCUGCAUGGCUGUCGUCAGCUCGCGUCGUGAGAUGUUGGGUUAAGUCCCGCAACGAGCGCAACCCUUGUCAUUAAUUGCCAUCAUUUAGUUGGGCACUUUAAUGAGACUGCCGG
rnacentral:rRNA from 1 species